rnacentral:rRNA from 1 species
UACGUAGGUGGCGAGCGUUAUUCGGAAUUACUAGGCGUAAAGCGCAGGUAGGUGGCUUGAUAAGUCCGUAAUGAAAUCUCCCGGCUUAACUGGGAGGGGUUUAGGGAUACUGUCAGGCUUGAGUGUGGGAGAGGUAACUGGAAUUCCUGGUGUAGCGGUGAAAUGCGUAGAGAUCAGGAGGAACACCUAUGGCGAAAGCAGGUUACUGGCCCAAUACUGACACUGAGCUGCGAAAGCUAGGGGAGCAAACAGG